rnacentral:rRNA from 1 species
GACAGAGGGUGCAAACGUUGCUCGGAAUUACUUGGCGUAAAGCGCGUGUAGGUGGAUUGGUGUGUCAGAUGUGAAAUCCCUGGGCUCAACCCAGGAACUGCACCUGAAACUACCAGUCUUGAGUGGUGGAGAGGGAAGUGGAAUUCCUGGUGUAGAGGUGAAAUUCAUAGAUAUCAGGAGGAACACCAGUGGCGAAGGCGGCUUCCUGGACACCAACUGACGCUGAGACGCGAAAGCGUGGGGAGCAAACAGG